CCUACGGGGGGCUGCAGUGAGGAAUAUUGGUCAAUGGGCGCGAGCCUGAACCAGCCAAGUAGCGUGAAGGAUGACUGCCCUACGGGUUGUAAACUUCUUUUAUAAAGGAAUACAGUGAGGCACGUGUGCCUUUUUGUAUGUACUUUAUGAAUAAGGAUCGGCUAACUCCGUGCCAGCAGCCGCGGUAAUACUGAGGCUCCGAGCGUUAUCCGGAUUUCUUGGGGUUAAAGGGAGCGUAGAUGGGUUGUUAAGUCAGUUGUGAAAGUUUGCGGAUCAACCGGAAAAUUGCAAUUGAUACUGGCAGUCUUGAGUACAGGUGAGGUAGGCGGAAUUCGUGGUGUAGCGGUGAAAUGCUUAGAUAUCACGAAGAACUCCGAUUGCGAAGGCAGCUUACUAAACUGCCACUGACAUUGAUGCUCGAAAGUGUGGGUAUCAAACAGGAUUAGAUACCCUUGUAGUC
rnacentral:rRNA from 1 species